rnacentral:lncRNA from 1 species
GCGAAGACUCGAGUCUACAGGGAUACCACUGAGCCGAACUGGAAUGAGGAGUUUGAGAUAGAGCUCGAAGGCUCCCAGACCCUGCGGAUACUAUGCUAUGAAAAGUGUUACAACAAAAUGAAGAUGGCGAAGGAGGAUGGCGAGAGCGCUGACAAGCUCAUGGGGAAAGGACAGGUCCAGCUGGACCCCCAAACCCUCCAGGACAGAGACUGGCAGCGGACUGUCAUCGACAUGAAUGGAAUCGAAGUGAAACUCUCGGUCAAGUUCACGAGCAGGGAGUUCAGCCUGAAGAGAAUGCCCUCCCGCAAACAGACGGGGGUCUUCGGUGUCAAAAUCGCUGUGGUCACAAAGAGAGAGAGGUCCAAGGUACCUUACAUUGUACGCCAGUGUGUGGAGGAGAUUGAG